ACACACACACAGAAAAGUUUCUCUCUCUCCAGAACUCGCUCAAGUAAACCACCUAUCCCUCCAGUGUCUGGUGGCUCUUCCGCCGCCGUCGCCGGCGGUGUUUCUCUUCUCCCCUCUCGUUUUCCUCAUUUGCCUCUUUAUUCUCCCCUGUUUUUCUCACUGAUAUACUUACCCCUGGAUACACCGACGGAUCUUCAAGCUUUAUACUCUGGCCAAGUGGUGGGUUUCUUCUGAAGGAGGUGUUUCUGGUGUUCCGGUGAGGCGAGAAAGCAGGGGAGCAAAGGAGGUCGGCUUUUUGGGCGGCCAGAUUAGGCUUCGUGACGGUUAGUCUCCCUCCUGAUGGUUUCUCGGUGAUUGGAUUGUCUGUGUUCAUCCGCCGGUGUCCAGAUAGCUCCUCCUCUCUUUCCUUUUCCUCCUCGCGGUUCUGUGUCGAUGCAGGUCAUUUGGCCCUCUCGGCAAGGUUUCUUGGUACCCGUCUCCUCUACUAGAAUGGUUCCCUUUCAGCCCGUUGUUAUUGCGUGGUGAGGUCUGGAGUUCCUGUGCUCGUCUCCGGUGGUCUCAGGUACGGUUCUCCUUACCAUUCAUCCGCCUUCCCAAAGCUUUAAAGUGUAGCAAGACCAGCAGAGAAGGCGAAUGGGAUGUUUUAAUUCCUUAUCCGGAUUAGUCGACCAAGCAAUGUGACAAAGUCUGAUCCGGAGCUGUUACCCGACGGCUUGGCUGUGUAUCUUACGGAGUUUAAGCUUGCAAGGUCAUAUGUCUGUGCCGCUUUUAUUCAAAUUCUCUGCUGUAAUCUUGUAACUUAUGCCCAAUUCGGGAUUAUGAAAUAAUAAUAAAAAAAGAACCAUUCCAAA